GGCUAACUACGUGCCAGCAGCCGCGGUAAUACGUAGGGCGCAAGCGUUAUCCGGAAUUAUUGGGCGUAAAGAGCUCGUAGGCGGUUUGUCGCGUCUGCUGUGAAAUCCCGAGGCUCAACCUCGGGCCUGCAGUGGGUACGGGCAGACUAGAGUGCGGUAGGGGAGAUUGGAAUUCCUGGUGUAGCGGUGGAAUGCGCAGAUAUCAGGAGGAACACCGAUGGCGAAGGCAGAUCUCUGGGCCGUAACUGACGCUGAGGAGCGAAAGGGUGGGGAGCAAACAGGCUUAGAUACCCUGGUAGUCCACCCCGUAAACGUUGGGAACUAGUUGUGGGGUCCAUUCCACGGAUUCCGUGACGCAGCUAACGCAUUAAGUUCCCCGCCUGGGGAGUACGGCCGCAAGGCUAAAACUCAAAGGAAUUGACGGGGACCCGCACAAGCGGCGGAGCAUGCGGAUUAAUUCGAUGCAACGCGAAGAACCUUACCAAGGCUUGACAUAUACGAGAACGGGCCAGAAAUGGUCAACUCUUUGGACACUCGUAAACAGGUGGUGCAUGGUUGUCGUCAGCUCGUGUCGUGAGAUGUUGGGUUAAGUCCCGCAACGAGCGCAACCCUCGUUCUAUGUUGCCAGCACGUAAUGGUGGGAACUCAUGGGAUACUGCCGGGGUCAACUCGGAGGAAGGUGGGGAUGACGUCAAAUCAUCAUGCCCCUUAUGUCUUGGGCUUCACGCAUGCUACAAUGGCCGGUACAAAGGGCUGCAAUACCGUGAGGUGGAGCGAAUCCCAAAAAGCCGGUCCCAGUUCGGAUUGAGGUCUGCAACUCGACCUCAUGAAGUCGGAGUCGCUAGUAAUCGCAGAUCAGCAACGCUGCGGUGAAUACGUUCCCGGGUCUUGUACACACCGCCCGUCAAGUCAUGAAAGUCGGUAACACCUGAAGCCGGUGGCCUAACCC
rnacentral:rRNA from 1 species